AGAUGGCGCCAGCAUUGACACAGAUUUAAGUGGUAAUUAUACCUUGUUUGGGGCUAACGCCAGCUGUUUUGUCAUGGCUGUGAUAAUAUCUAAAGGACAAAAUGCCCGCUCAAAAUGUCUCUACUGGAUUCAAGAGGGGACCACGAGAGACGCCCACGAAGCAUGCGAAGAUGCCUUCUUCUAUAACUGCAGCAGUCUGACGGGUAACAUCUAUUUGAUGCAACAACAUAGGACCGAGUGCAACUUCAGUAGCCACAAGCCAGGAAGUUCUCCUUAAUUCUCCAAGUAACACAACGUUGCGAGCAACUGUAUUUAGGAUCACAUUAAAUAAAGACGUAACUUUUGUAGUAAUCAUUUCA
rnacentral:lncRNA from 1 species